rnacentral:antisense_RNA from 1 species
AUGAGAAUAAAUCUCAUUCUAGAGAAAUAUUGUAAGUAUACCAUACAGGAUUUAUUCCUUUUU